UUGGUUGCAUCAAAACGGCCGGUCACCUAUCUUAGACGGGCCGGGAAACCGGCUAUGUCGGUAGAGUAUCGGGUGGAAUAGGCAUUUCGGACCCGGGGGGCAGUACCCCGGCGCCUCCACCACCAGCGGCGAAGUGCGCAACAUGCAGAUUGCGCCGCUGCUGAUGGGGGCGAAAUAGGAUCGACGAGUGCAAUAAAGUCCCGGUUGCCGAUCGGUAUGAGACCACCGUGACGGCUCAUUCACACAAGUGCCAACGAUAACGAGGCGCUCGCUCUUGCUGCGUAACUGAGGGCCUAACGGUCUAAGGUUAUAAAGCUUAAGCGCGGUCGGACCCCACCGGGCAACAGAAGGGGAUUCCAGCGGCACGGGAGGCGCCGGGCAACAGAAGCCUCCCACU
rnacentral:tmRNA from 1 species